GUCUAUACACAACAAAAUAAUACUCGACUUCUAGCGGAGGGACUCGGAUGAAUGUACAACUACUGAAUGACGAGACACUUACCAAAAGAUGGACACAAGUCUACAAAGACACCUCGUCCUAGUUACCGGUUGUCUCGUGAUCUGAAAACAUGAAUUUGAAAAUGGUGAGUAUACACCCAGUGAGUGAACAAGGAGGGAACAAGCAACAAUUAGGGAGAAUUUAAAAUCAUGAUGCACUUGUUUCAAAACAAUGUAAUUUAAUUCCAUUCAUAUUAAAAACCGCUCAUCAAGCCCUUAAAUGAUUAAUCAUUUGGAAAUCAUGAACUCAUACAUAACGAACCAUUUGAAGAAUGAAAGUUUUAAUGAUACGAAAGCAAGUCAAAUACAACAACGAAUCUUCGCUACAGCGACGUUGGGAUUUAGUUAUUAACCGAACAAGGGUUUGUUAACUGGCCGAGGGUUUCUCACUAAACCUCCUCAUUUUAAACUUAACUCAUGUAGUCCUUAAUGUUGUAAGUCCAUGCUUAGAUAUGGUAGCAAAGAAGUGAAAAAUAGGGCAGCAAUUGGACAAGAUAAGAGACAAAAUAGAAAGUUUUUCAUUGCAACGAGAUUCAAUCUUGCUGCAGCGAAAUUUCAACCUAGAAACAGAAAGUUUCUCGCUAUAGUGAGAAGCUACAGUGUCAUUCUCGCUGCAGCGAGUUUUCGACCAGUCUACCCCUCAAAACCCGAGAGUUUCUCGCUGCAGCGAAAAUGAUUCUCGCUGCAAUGAGAAACAGGGCACCAAUGAAAAAUUUGCCCUUCUUCCCAAAGAAAAACCACUCUACUGAAAUGUCCAAACCAACAUAAAACGCAUAACAAUUUUCCACAGUUUAACAUGUCAAGUUUCACAUGCAUUACAACCAUAUACCAUUACUCAUUAAUUUCCUAUAUCACACAUAUUUACAUAUGUAUAUAUAUGUAUACGUAUACCCAUCAUCAUCAUCACACCAUCCCAUCAUCAUCAUCACCUACUCAUGCGCACUUUCUACUCGCACAUGGUUGGGUCAUCACCGGGUUAUGCGCAGUCCCUACUCGCACAUAACCGGGUCAUCCUCGACUUAUGCGCACUCCCUACUCGCACAUAUCCGAGUUAAUGUCAUUACACAACAAUGUAUUCACAUACAUGUAUAUCAACACAAUGUGGUAAUGCAUGAAUCAAUAAUAGUCACAUGUCACAACAUGGAGACAAUCUAUCAAAAGCUUAUUCCCAAGGCACUUGUUUUCAUGAAAAGCUUGAUAAUUCAUUCAAAUGUUUAGCAAAUACAUUAUAUUCCCAAAACAAGUUUUGAAGGCAGUCCAUUCACCUAUUUAUUGUUGAGCCUUUAGUUGACUCUAAUUCCCCUAAUGAUCCAAAUGGAAGGAUGGGACUUCAUUAGAACCUAGGAUCACAUUAGCAUAAACAAUAGGUCAAUUCACACACUAUGAACCCUAAAAGCUAUCUCUUAGCUAGCUUUCAAUUGCCACAUUAAAUGGCUAUCUAUGUUCACUAUCUUAAUCACUAAAAAGUAAUGAACAUACUCAAUAAUAAAACAGCUCUUAAUCUAAAUUACUAGUCAUUAGUCACAGCUAAAAACCGAAUUUAGUUCAUCACUCACCCUUGGGUUUCUUUGUAGUUGAAUUCUCUUCCAAUAACUUCCAAAUCAAUGGGGUAAUUCUCUUUUUCUCUCUCUAAAAUGCCCAGCUAGUGAGAGAAAGUCUGGAUAUAAGCUUUAUCAAUGGUUUUGAAGUGAGAGAGUGAAAGAAUUAAAGAGUUCUAGUCAAAAGGGCUCAAAGGUAUGAAAAGUAGAGCUAGAGAGAGAAAAUUAUGCAAGCUCCAUAUCAAGCUUCAAUGGAGUUUUGAAGAACGUGAGAGGGAAAAAAAAGAAGAAGACAAGUUGUUGGAAAAUGGGAUAAGAAGCUACUGGAAGAAAGAUAUUUAUAGCCAAUCUUAUCCAUUCCCUUAAAAUUACGAAAAUGCCCUUGACUAGUUAGCUUGUUCUAGUGCAACCCUUUGUGCAAUCUUUUUGCUCUUUUGAAAUUGGGACAAGGUCCAUAAUGGUCUAAACAUGUUCGGGUUUACGAAAAUUUUAAAAGUUUUGACUCGAGUGCAAAAUGACCAUUUUGCCCCUAUUGUGAAAAUUAUUAUCAUUUCUAGUUUUCUUCGUGUUUUCAUCAGUACACAUCAUUUAUGCAAUUUUAUGCCUAUUUAGACCUUAAAAUAUCAUAAAACUUUCUUCUGGGAGCUUAUUAGAGAAAAUGACGAAACUACCCCUAGCUCGUAUUAUUACAUCUAUGCUUAGUUACAAGCCUAUAAAAGUUGGGGUCUCACAAAUUCAACCAUGGAAAAUGCACAAGAAUGCAUAGGAAAGAUAGAUCACAAGCUAGAGUUAAGAAAUUUCACCUUUAAUGUCUUGAUUCCUUGAAAUCUAGUGAUUUUCCCUUGAAUUUCUUAGCUAGGGUUUUGUUCUUCUUCUUUUCUUCCCUUUUCUUCCUUUGGCCGACCAAGAGAAAUGAGUUGGG
rnacentral:lncRNA from 1 species